GACGAACCGAGCGAACGUUGUUCGGACUCAUUGGGCUUAAAGGGCGCGUAGGCGGGCCGUCAAGUCAGGGGUGAAAGCCCCCAGCUCAACUGGGGAAGGGCCUUUGAUACUGACGGCCUCGAGGGGGAUAGGGGCGUGCGGAACUUCCGGUGGAGCGGUGAAAUGCGUAGAUAUCGGAAGGAACACCGGUGGCGAAAGCGGCGCGCUGGAUCCCUUCUGACGCUGAGGCGCGAAAGCCAGGGGAGCAAACGGG
rnacentral:rRNA from 1 species